GACGAACGCUGGCGGCGUGCUUAACACAUGCAAGUCGAACGGAAAGGCCCCUUUGGGGGUCCUCGAGUGGCGAACGGGUGCGUAACACGUGAGUAACCUGCCCUUGCCUUCGGGAUAACUUCAGGAAACUGGGGCUAAUACCGGAUAGGAAUCCUUGCUGCAUGGUGGGGGUUGGAAAGCUACGGCGGUUUUGGCUGGACUUGCGGCAUAUCAGCUUGUUGGUGGGGUAGUGGCUUACCAAGGCUUUGACGGGUAGCCGGCCUGAGAGGGCGACCGGCCACAUUGGGUCUGAGAGGCGGCCCAGACUCCGACGGGAGGCAGCUGUGGGGAAGACUGCACAAUGGGCGGCAGCCUGAUGCAGCAACGCCGCGGGCGGGAUGACGGCCUUCGGGUUGUAAACCGCUUUCAGCAGGGGCGAAGCUUGUGGUGACGGUACCUGCAGAAGAAGCACCGGCUAACUACGUG
rnacentral:rRNA from 1 species